CCUGAGAAACCCAAAAGAUCGAAUGGGGAGAUUCAUCGCCAGCGGCGUUGGCUUACGUGUGGAUCGGCGAUGGCCGGGACCACCUCGGUCCCGCGUCACACGUCCACUGCGGCAUGUCCGACUGUCGGCGGCGUGCACUUCUCCCCUAGUAGGACGUCGCGACCCGUUGGGUGUCGGACCGAUGGCCGUUUGGUCGACUGUCUCGUCGCGCUCACGCGCGCACGUGGCAGACCAAUUCGGUCGAGCGUCCGACUGCUCGGCGGUAUAGAACGCUAUUACACGGUAACGGGCCGCAUUAAGUGCGUUCAGGCCCGUCGGCAGGCUCGUCUCGCUCGGAAUUACGGACCUAGUGCCGUUGCCGGGUGCUUGACGUGGCCGUUAGUCCUCGGUGCCCUCGGACUGGCUCUACAAUUCGUAAGGAUUUACCGGUCGGCGACGCUACUGCUUUGGGUACUUUC
rnacentral:rRNA from 1 species